UACAGAGGUCCCAAGCGUUGUUCGGAUUCAUUGGGCGUACAGGGUGCGUAGGCGGCGCGGUAAGUCGGGUGUGAAAUCUCGGGGCUUAACUCCGAAACUGCAUUCGAUACUGCCGUGCUUGAGGACUGGAGAGGAGACUGGAAUUUACGGUGUAGCGGUGAAAUGCGUAGAUAUCGUAAGGAAGACCAGUGGCGAAGGCGGGUCUCUGGACAGUUCCUGACGCUGAGGCACGAAGGUCAGGGGAGCAAACGGG
rnacentral:rRNA from 1 species